rnacentral:rRNA from 1 species
GCUACGGGAGGCAGCAGUGAGGAAUAUUGGUCAAUGGACGCAAGUCUGAACCAGCCAUGCCGCGUGCAGGAAGACGGCUCUAUGAGUUGUAAACUGCUUUUGUACGAGGGUAAACGCAGAUACGCGUAUCUGUCUGAAGGUAUCGUACGAAUAAGGAUCGGCUAACUCCGUGCCAGCAGACGCGGUAAUACGGAGGAUUCAAGCGUUAUCCGGAUUUGUUGGGUUUAAAGGGUGCGUAGGCGGUAGUAUAAGUUCGAGGUGAAAUCCCCAGGCUCAAAUUCGGAAUUGCCUCUGAUACUGGUCGGCUAGAGAGUAGUUGCGGUAGGCGGAAUGUAUGGUGUAGCGGUGAAAUGCUUAGAGAUCAUACAGAACACCGAUUGCGAAGGCAGCUUACCAAGCUACUUCUGACGUUGAGGCACGAAAGCGUGGGGAGCAAACAGGAUUAGAUACCCCAGUAGUC